AUACGGAGGGUGCAAGCGUUACUCGGAAUCACUGGGCGUAAAGGAUGCGUAGGCGGAUAAUCAAGUCAAAAGUGAAAUCCUACAGCUUAACUGUAGAACUGCUUUCGAAACUGGUUAUCUAGAAUAUGGAAGAGGCAGAUGGAAUUAGUGGUGUAGGGGUAAAAUCCGUAGAGAUCACUAGGAAUACCGAUUGCGAAGGCGAUCUGCUGGGACAUUAUUGACGCUGAGGCAUGAAAGCGUGGGGAGCAAACAGGAUUAGAAACCCCAGUAGUCC
rnacentral:rRNA from 1 species